GACGAACGCUGGCGGCGUGCUUAACACAUGCAAGUCGAACGGACAGGCCCUGCUUUUGUUGGUUGCUCGUGUGGCGAACGCGUGAGUAACACGUGUGUAUCCUGUCCUUGUCUUUCUGGUAUCUUUUCGAAACUCGGGCUCUUAUCCCAUAUGAUCUCCUGCUGCGUGUGGGUCGUUGGAGAGAUUCGGCUGUUGGGGCUCGUCUCGCGGCUUAUCCGCUUGUUUGUGGGGUUGUGGCUUACCAAGGGUUUGAAGGGUAGCCGGCCUGGGCGGGUUACCGGCCACAUGGGGACUGAGAGACGGCCCAGAAUCCUACGGGAGGCAGCAGGGGGGAAUAUGGCAGAAUGGGCGGGAGCCUGAGGCAGAAACGCCGCGUGCGGGAUGACGGCCUUCGGGUUGUGAACCGCUGUCGCAUGUGACGAAGCGUGAGUGACGGUAAUGGGUAAAGAAGCACCGGCUAACUACGUG
rnacentral:rRNA from 1 species